rnacentral:rRNA from 1 species
CACGUAGGCACCAAGCGUUGUCCGGAUUUAUUGGGCGUAAAGGGCUCGUAGGCGGCCAACUAAGUCAGACGUGAAAUCCCUCGGCUUAACCGGGGAACUGCGUCUGAUACUGGAUGGCUUGAGUUCGGGAGAGGGAUGCGGAAUUCCAGGUGUAGCGGUGAAAUGCGUAGAUAUCUGGAGGAACACCGGUGGCGAAGGCGACAUCCUGGACCGACACUGACGCUGAGGAGCGAAAGCCAGGGGAGCAAACGGG